UGGGGGAUAUUGCACAAUGGGCGAAAGCCUGAUGCAGCGACGCCGCGUGGGGGAUGAAGGCCUUCGGGUUGUAAACUUCCUUUGCUCUGAACAAGGCAUGCUAAUGGGUGUGUUGAGUGUAGGGGUUGAUUAGCGCCGGCUAACUACGUGCCAGCAGCCGCGGUAAUACGUAGGGCGCGAGCGUUGUCCGGAAUUAUUGGGCGUAAAGGGCUUGCAGGUGGCUGGUUGCGUCUGUCGUGAAAGCUCAUGGCUUAACUGUGGGUUUGCGGUGGGUACGGGCUGGCUUGAGUGCAGUAGGGGAGGCUGGAAUUCCUGGUGUAGCGGUGGAAUGCGCAGAUAUCAGGAGGAAUACCGGUGGCGAAGGCGGGUCUCUGGGCUGUUACUGACACUGAGGAGCGAAAGCAUGGGGAGCGAACAGG
rnacentral:rRNA from 1 species